rnacentral:rRNA from 1 species
UACAGAGGGGGCAAGCGUUGUUCGGAAUUACUGGGCGUAAAGCGUGCGUAGGCGGCAGCGUGUGUCGGGCGUGAAAUCCCCAGGCUCAACCUGGGAACUGCGUCUGAUACUGGUUGGCUUGAAUUCGGGAGAGGGAUGCAGAAUUCCAGGUGUAGCGGUGAAAUGCGUAGAUAUCUGGAGGAAUACCGGUGGCGAAGGCGGCAUCCUGGACCGAGAUUGACACUGAGGAGCGAAAGCCAGGGGAGCAAACGGG